AGCGAACGCUGGCGGCAGGCCUAACACAUGCAAGUCGAACGAACUCUUCGGAUUUAGUGGCGGACGGGUGAGAAACACGUGGUAACGUGCCUUUAGGUUCGGAAUAACUCAGGGAAACUUGUGCUAAUACCGAAUGUGCCCUUCGUGGGAAAGAUUUAUCGCCUUUAGAGCGGCCCGCGUCUGAUUAGCUAGUUGGUGAGGUAAAGGCUCACCCAGGCGACGAUCAGUAGCUGGUCUGAGAGGAUGAUCAGCCACAUUGGGACUGAGACACGGCCCAAACGCCUACGGGAGGCAGCAGUGGGGAAUCUUGCGCAAUAGGCGAAAGCCUGACGGAGCCAUGCCGCGUGAAUGAUGAAGGUCUUAGGAUUGUAAAAUUCUUUCACCGGGGACGAUAAUGACGGUACCCGGAGAAGAAGCCCCGGCUAACUUCGUG
rnacentral:rRNA from 1 species